UCCCUCUUAGCUCAGUGGUAGAGCGCGUCACUAGUAUUGCGUAAGCUGGCUUAGUCAGCGUCACGUGAUGACGAGGUCAGUCGUUCAAAUCGGCUAGCGGGAA